rnacentral:misc_RNA from 1 species
AGAGAGAGAGAGAGAGAGAGAGAGGAACCCACCUCAAUUUUUCGCUUUCUAGGAAAGCAUAUAGAGAAAGUGUGUGCCUGUGUUGCCGCUGGAGAGAGAGAGAGCGAUAAAGAAAGCUCUGAGAGAAAAGAGAAGAGAGAGAAGAAGAAGAAGAAAAGGAAAGAAGAAGAAGCGAUGAUGAUGAUUAUGAGGCAACAAAUAACAACACGAAGGAGAACACACAACAAAGGAAGAAAGAUACAAAAAUACAUAUAGAUAGAUAGAGAGAGCGUGUGUUUGUGUGUGCUAGCUACUAAAGGGUCGUUAUUGCAUUUCUUGCCUUCUUUUUAUUAUUUCUUACAUUUUUUUGGCUUUGUUUCUUCUUAUCAGUCUCUCUUAUGCUUCUGCUUCUCCUGCUCUCAUCACUGCUGUGUCUGGCACAACCCUAUAUCUCUCCUUAUCCUCACCGAGAAAAACUCAGUCAUCUCUACCUCUCAUACCCAAAGGCCAAAACUUUUCUUUUCAUUUUAUUCCAUCUCAGAAAAGCCAAACCUGACAGUUGGGUGUGUGAGUGUGUGUGUGUGUGUGUGU